UACGUAGGGGGCUAGCGUUGUCCGGAUUUAUUGGGCGUAAAGAGCGUGUAGGCGGCCUGGUAGGUCAGCUGUGAAAACUCGAGGCUCAACCUCGAGACGCCGGUUGAAACCAUCAGGCUAGAGUCCGGAAGAGGAGAGUGGAAUUCCCGGUGUAGCGGUGAAAUGCGCAGAUAUCGGGAAGAACACCCGUGGCUAAGGCGGCUCUCUAGUACGGUACUGACGCUGAGACGCGAAAGCGUGGGGAGCAAACAGG
rnacentral:rRNA from 1 species